rnacentral:rRNA from 1 species
UACGGAGGGUGCAAGCGUUAUCCGGAAUCACUGGGUUUAAAGGGUGCGUAGGCGGCUGUAUAAGUCAGAGGUGAAAGCCCGGAGCUUAACUUCGGAACUGCCUUUGAUACUGUAUAGCUUGAAAUAGGUUGAGGUCAGCGGAAUGUGGCAUGUAGCGGUGAAAUGCAUAGAUAUGCCAUAGAACACCAAUUGCGAAGGCGGCUGCCUGGUCCAAUAUUGACGCUGAGAAACGAAAGUGCGGGGAUCAAACAGG